rnacentral:lncRNA from 1 species
ACACACACACACACACACACACACACACACACACACACACACACACACACACACAUAAACCUCUCCUAACAGGAGAGGGGGGUUUGUUCCCAUCUCUGCUAGCCAAUUCCCUGAACGGGCUAGUGUCAUGACACCGCCCAACCCUAGGGUGAGUCCUACAUUCACUUGUGAUGCAGGAAAAAGAAGUGCACAGCUAUUGAGCGCUGGCCUUGCAAUGUCAUUUUUUUUAACCAGAUGUACAAAAAUUACACUUUGAUCUAAUGUCUUCGUGGUUAAAGUACCUGUAGAAUACCUGUUUUAAACCAUGAAGAACUGCAUGAAGAACCUGUUUCGUGGACAUAUUGGCAGGUUGUUUCUUGGUAGCACACACAGCUUGUUGGACUCUCAGGCGAAGCAGCGCUGGCUCCCUCCUUGUAGAUCAGUAGAUUAUCUUUUUAUAGAAUACUUCAACAGAGCAGACUGAUUCAGGGUCAAGCCUUUACAUUGUUACGUACCAUAAUUACAUACCAAGCACCAACAUGCAUUACUGGGAUGGGGCAUCAUUUUUAUGUGUCUCUGCCAUGAGGUUAACCUUUGUUAACCACUGUACCUGUAACUUUGUGCCUUAGCAUAAGUAAGACUUUAGCCCAAACAUUCUCAACUAUAAGCAAGUCAUAACCAUUUCAUGGUGGGAGGUUGCAGGAAACGAUCUGAUGGUAGUGAUAUAAGGCCUCUGAAUGGGCAGCAAGUUAGGUUGUGUUGUAAGACAGAACGGUUGUAGCUAUUACUGUCCCUCCACCUUUUUCACGUGCAUGCUUUGAUUUAAACAAUAUUCGAGUGAUAGUCUAUUUUAAAACGCUCACUCACUCACUCACUCACUCAUUCACAAAGACAUUACGCCUAACGUGGUCCCUGCAAAUUAAUUUUGAAUACCCUUUCCCAGAUUUGUGCCUCGACACAAUCCUGUCUCUGAGCUCUACGGAAAAUUCCUUCGACCCCAUGGCUUGUUUUUUUUCUCUGACAUGCACUGUCAACUGUGGAACCUUAUAAAGACAGGUGCGUGCCUUUCCAAAUCAUGUCCAAUCAAUUGAAUUCACCACAGGUGGACUCCAAGUUGUAGAAACAUCUCGAUGAAUGGAAAUGCGCCUGAGCUCAAUUUCGAGUCUCAUAGCAAAGUGUCUCAAUACUUAUGUAAAUUUCAGUUUUUUAUUUUUAAUACAUUUGCAAACAUUUCUAAAAACCUGUUUUCUCUUUGUCCAUUAUGAGGUAUUGUGUAUAGAUUUUAGGGGGAAAAAUUUUAACCAAUUUUAGAAUGAGGCUGUAAACAAAAUGUGGAAAAAGUCAAGGGGUCUGAAUACUUUCUGAAGGCACUGUACCUUUUAUUAAUAUUUGCCCUGAUGUUAUUAGCCUACCCCUUUCUCUUACCUCCUGUUGCUUCAUUCCUUCCUCGCUUUCAACAGUUAAGCUAAAUUAAAUGAUUUUCGUUGUCUUUAUGUUCAUCAUUCUAAUGACAUGCUUGAAUAAUAUAGGACUAGAAUUAGAUGCAGAUGGCUUUCCCUUCACGAAGAUCUGAAUGGUUAUGAGUCUGACUAAACUGCUACAGCCCUCCGCAAUCGUGCGUUCGCUCUUCUUUCAAACUAAACAUCAGUUCUGUUGACUGUUGUAUUUAACAUUCAGCAAACAAGCUUGCGUCCAUCUUCAAAUAGUCUAUUCGUAUAAAACAUUUUAAAAAUAUAAAAUGUCCAGCAAGCUAUUCUAGUCUAGCUUUUCCUGCCUGGGACUCCAAGACCUAAGGAGCGUUUUUUAACGAGAGGCCAGCGGAGCACAGGCACAUGCGUAUUGCAAAAGAGACAGAGGCUAUAAGUUAGAAGCUUAUUAUUCAUUAGCUAAAUGUAAUGCUAAUGCUGAAUUGAAUGUAUUACCUGAAAGAGGUAGGCUAGGAUGUCUUGAACAGGAUUAUCUAUUUUCAUGCAAUUUGAAGGGAAUUGAUGGGAGUCUGCUCGCGCAUGCUCUGAUUUAAAGCAACAAUAUUCGAGUGAUGGGCUGUUUUUAAAACUGCAGCUGCAAUAAAAAAAAUCUUUACAAUUCAAAAAUCCGCUGACCCCCGAAAGCCAGAUGGAGAUGUGUAAAUUAGAGGUGCAUUCGGUUCUUAUAUUACUGUAGCAGUAUUCUAUGCUGCAGCAAAUGUAAGCAUACCUGUCACAAGUAAAAAAAAAAAGUUACCAUGAUGGGUCUACAUGCAGUGUGAACUGCAUACAUAUCGAGAUGGUCUGUCCACACCAUGAGCAUUUAUGAUUGAUCAUGCAGAGAGAAGGCCGUAGAGAAGCCAGGUUUAGAUAUUGCAUAUUAACAGUAUAACGUCAUGCUGUUAAUUAAUUUUUUUUAUAAUUUUCUGGUUUUUCGCAGUUAUUUAACCCAGGAAAAGGGAGUGGUUUUGGGUGGUUAAUCUUGGUAACCAGGUUCCCGCCAUUCAACCCUAACCUGCACCCACACUUUUUCACCUCUCCCUUGACAAUCCACCAUCUCUCCCUUGACACGCAUGCACCCAUACCAUUCCUGUGCUUGUCCUUCAUUCUCCCUGAAAAAGGUCCCUGUUACAGCAGAUCUGCUCGAGUUGGCGACACUAAAAAUAAGUUGCAAACGUGCUCCCGCUCUGUUUCCAAGGUUUAAUAUUGUCCCCCCGGCUAUGACACUGUCACACUGAGCUGUAGCUAGAGUUGUGUGUGUGUGUGUGUGUGUGUGUUUGUUUUAGUCUAGAUGGACUGUAAAUGAGCAUGUCUUUAACUCUCUUUUCCCAAAUUAAUAUUUAGUUACCACACACCACAAUGUGUUCAUUGCUAAUUGGUUUUAUUAACUAGCUUAGAAUUCAGAUUUGGGUGUAAAUCUGAAGCGGAAAAAUGCAGUGUGUUUGCGUGUCAUAGUGAUUCCAUUACCCUUCUCCUCACUCCAAAUCCUCUAAAUAUGUAAGUGUUGUUUUAUGUGGAAAUGCUCUCCCCUCCCAGCUGUGUGUGACUGACUGUGUGUUGUGCUCUCUCUGGACGGAGGGACUGAGCCGAGAGGGCAUCUCCAGCGAGGCCUGAAACCUCUCCCCACAGACCUACCUACUGCUGCUGAAGACCACCACCUCCCAUCACCAAUGACCUUCUACAGUGAACCGUUGACUGUUGCGCCUCAGACCUUGUAAUGGAAAAUCGUGGUAAGUUUGGCUUCUUGUUCAUUGUGGUUUGUGUAGUAGUGCAAUAUAGACCUGGGUGUGUUUAUGGGGCAGUUUGUUUUUGCUGCUACUCGGCGCACAGCAGACAGCUCAGUUCUCUAUGGCGCCCUCUGUAGGAAAGGGAGACAGGCUCCCUCCCUUUCUUGUUAGCACCAGUCUGUGUGUUGAGCUUCAGUUCCGUCUGCCUGCUGAAGAGGCCUGGCCCAGUCUGUUUUCCAGGUCGACAGGUUCCGGGCUCAUGCGGAUUGGCCCAGCUCUCUGUCUCCCGCUCUCUGGAAGCCAGCCCAGUUUGGAUUUAUGUGGGGCAGUGAGAAAAGGCCGUACAACUACAGACUCCAUCUUCAGAAGCAGAGAAAGGGAACGGGAAAAGGGUCAUACCUAGUCAGUUGUAAAACUGAAAUGUGUCUUCCGCAUUUAACCCAAACCCUCUGAAUCAGAGAGGUGCGGAGGGCUGCCUUAAUAAUCAUCCACUUCAUCAGUGCCUGGGGAACAGUGGGGUUAACUGCCUUGUUCAGGUGCAGAACGACAGACUUUUUUUACCUUGUCGGCUCUGGGAUUCGAUCCAGCAACCUUUCGGUUACUGGCCAAAUGCUCCUACCCGAGAGAGACAGCCCAAGAAGGUCAGAGACCUCAUCUGUUCAAAUCAGCAAGUACUUUAGCUGUGCUUGAUUGAGCAUGCCUAGCACAAUGGAACCAAUAUAAUAGUCCCCAAAGUGCAAACCUCGCCCACCUGGCACUCCAGACAGGCUCAAUCAAACGCUCAAAGUAUUUGAAGGAAAACAACUAUUUAAACCCAGGAGCCUGUUCAGGAUAGAACUUUCAGAUAGGAAUGUAUCGUGUAGAACAGAUAUGAUUGUCUGUCAGAUCAUGCCAGCUCUAUUCACUCUAUUCCUACAGCAGAUCUGCUCGAGUUGGCGACACUAAAAAUAAGUUGCAAACGUGCUCCCGCUCUGUUUCCAAGGUUUAAUAUUGUCCCCCCGGCUAUGACACUGUCACACUGAGCUGUAGCUAGAGUUGUGUGUGUGUGUGUGUUUGUUUUAGUCUAGAUGGACUGUAAAUGAGCAUGUCUUUAACUCUCUUUUCCCAAAUUAAUAUUUAGUUACCACACACCACAAUGUGUUCAUUGCUAAUUGGUUUAUUAACUAGCUUAGAAUUCAUGCCAGCUCUAUUCACUCUAUUCCUAUCUGUGACUUCCAGAACGUUUCACAUCACUGAAUACACCCCACGACGGUUCAGUGCCCUGUGUUGUCAUGUUGCAUGUGACCCCAGGUAGUGGGUUUAAACAUGCUCUUCGUUCUAAUCAAAACAGCCUGGCUGGAUCUGCCAAUCUCUCUCUCCACGCUCUCCUAUGAGAAGGAGUCGUUUGUGUUGGUCCCUUCACUCUCCCUUCUUCUCCCGCUGUCUCUGUAUCUUGCCCAAACAGUUUGUUGUUCCACCUCAAAAAGCACAAGACAGAGGAUUUCGACACCCACCAUUUUGUCGAAAUAUAAUUGAAUCUCUGAGACAUUAAGCUGAUUGAUCGCACCCAAAUUGGCCAUUUUAAAUUAGAGGAUUCAUAUAAUAUUCAAUAAAUAUAGUACAUAACAUCCAAUUUGGACCCCGACAAAAAUCUUACAAUGAGAAACAUUCCGACGGACCCCCCCACGCCAAUCCAUAACAAAUGUCUAUGUUUGACAAGUAUACUGAACAAAAAUUAUUUUGAGUAAAGUCAUUGAAAUUGUUGCGUUUAUAAGGAAAUCGGUCAAUUUAAAUAAUCUCAUAAGGCCCUAAUUUAUGGAUUUCACAAGACUGGGUAGGGGUACAGUCGUGGGUGGGUCAUGGGUGCCACCCCCCCACCACUGGGGAGCCACGCCCAGCCAAUCAGAAUGAGUUUUUCCUCACAAAAGGGCUUUAUUACAGACAGAAAUACGCCUCAGUUUCAUCAGCUGUCCGGUUGGCUGGUCUCAGACGAUCCCACAGGUAAAGAAGCCGAUUGUGGAGGUCCUGGGCUGGUGUGGUUAGACGUGGUUUGCGGUUUUGAUGCCGGUUGGACGUGCUGCCAAAUUCUUUAAAAUGACCUUGGGAGGCGGCUUAUUGUAGAGAAAUUAACAUUAAAUUCUCUGGCAAUGUUACCGGCCUCAGUCUAGCUGAGGUGGCCUGUAAUAGUAAAAAUAACGGACACAAGUUUACGUCUGCAAAGUUCUGGUGUUUUCUUUAUUCUGAAGAAUGUUUUUUUUUCUCUUGUUCAAUUGUCUAUUUUCUUCUUCGUACUUUUAAAACAUUAACAUCAAACAAGUGCACACUUUAAAAUACACUGCAUAAAUGCACUUUACCUAAAGCAGAAUUCGAAAAUGUUCCACAAAUAACCCCG